rnacentral:rRNA from 1 species
GACGAACGCUGGCGGCGUGCCUAACACAUGCAAGUCGAACGGAAAGGCCCUGCUUUUGUGGGGUGCUCGGGUGGCGGACGGGUGAGUUACACGUGAGUACCCUGUACCUGACUGUGGGAUAACUUCAGGAAACUGGGGCUAAUCCCGGCUAGGAGCUCCUGCCGCAUGGUGGGGGUUGGAUAGUUUCGGCGGUUGGGGGUGGACUCGCGGCUUAUCAGCUUGAUGGUGGGGUAGUGGCUUACCAAGGCUUUGACAGGUAGCCUGCCUGAGAGGGUGACCGGCCACAUCGGGCUGGGGAUGCGACCCAGACUCGUAUGGUACGCAGCGGUGGGGAAGGGUGUACAAGAGGCGGAGGCCUGAUGCAGCAACGCCGCGUGCGGGAUGACGGGCUGCGGGUUGGAUUCCGCUUUCGCCUGUGACGAAGCGUUAGUGACGGUACCGGGUGAAGAAGCACCGGCUAACUACGUG